rnacentral:lncRNA from 1 species
AACAAAGCAUAGAAAACUUUAGACUGAGUAACACGAACCAUCAGAAAGUCAUAUUGAUAGCCUGUAAUUUAAGGUCAAUCCAAAAUAAUAAGUAGUUUAAUAUCGUGUUAAAUUUACACAAUCUCAUUAUUAUACAACUAUGAAUGGUCCUUAGUUACAAGACUUCAAACAGUACUUUUUACAUACUUGAUUAUAUACAAGAAAAUCACGG